ACGGGUGAGUAACACGUGGGCAACCUGCCCUUGAGACUGGGAUAACUUCGGGAAACCGGAGCUAAUACCGGAUAAUAUAAGGAACCUCCUGGUUCCUUAUUGAAAGAUGGUUUCGGCUAUCACUUAAGGAUGGGCCCGCGGCGCAUUAGCUAGUUGGUGAGGUAACGGCUCACCAAGGCGACGAUGCGUAGCCGACCUGAGAGGGUGAUCGGCCACACUGGGACUGAGACACGGCCCAGACUCCUACGGGAGGCAGCAGUAGGGAAUCUUCCACAAUGGACGAAAGUCUGAUGGAGCAACGCCGCGUGAGUGACGAAGGCCUUCGGGUCGUAAAGCUCUGUUGUUAGGGAAGAACAAGUGCGAGAGUAACUGCUCGCACCUUGACGGUACCUAACCAGAAAGCCACGGCUAACUACGUGCCAGCAGCCGCGGUAAUACGUAGGUGGCAAGCGUUAUCCGGAAUUAUUGGGCGUAAAGCGCGCGCAGGUGGUUUCUUAAGUCUGAUGUGAAAGCCCACGGCUCAACCGUGGAGGGUCAUUGGAAACUGGGGAACUUGAGUGCAGAAGAGGAAAGUGGAAUUCCA
rnacentral:rRNA from 1 species